rnacentral:rRNA from 1 species
GAUGAACGCUGGCGGCGUGCCUAAUACAUGCAAGUCGAGCGAACGGACGAGAAGCUUGCUUUUCUGAUGUUAGCGGCGGACGGGUGAGUAACACGUGGAUAACCUACCUAUAAGACUGGGAUAACUUCGGGAAACCGGAGCUAACACCGGAUAAUAUUUUGAACCGCAUGGUUCAAAAGUGAAAGACGGUCUUGCUGUCACUCAUAGAUGGAUCCGCGCUGCAUUAGCUAGUUGGUAAGGUAACGGCUUACCAAGGCAACGAUGCAUAGCCGACCUGAGAGGGUGAUCGGCCACACUGGAACUGAGACACGGUCCAGACUCCUACGGGAGGCAGCAGUAGGGAAUCUUCCGCAGUGGGCGAAAGCCUGACGGAGCAACGCCGCGUGAGUGAUGAAGGUCUUCGGAUCGUAAAACUCUGUUAUUAGGGAAGAACAUAUGUGUAAGUAGCUGUGCACAUCUUGACGGUACCUAAUCAGAAAGCCACGGCUAACUACGUG